GAUGAACGCUAGCGGGAGGCUUAAUACAUGCAAGUCGAACGGUAACAUUGGAGCUUGCUUCAGAUGACGAGUGGCGCACGGGUGAGUAAUGCGUACGCAAUCUACCUUUCACAGAGGGAUAGCCUUGGGAAACUGAGAAUAAUACCUCAUAGUUUUGAUUAGUCGCAUGACUGAUUGAAUAAAGUUCAGGCGGUGAGAGAUGAGCGUGCGUGCUAUUAGGUAGUUGGUAAGGUAAUGGCUUACCAAGCCUACGAUAGCUAGGGGGCGUGAGAGCGUGGCCCCCCACACGGGUACUGAGACACGGACCCG
rnacentral:rRNA from 1 species